UAAUACGAGAGGCCCAAACGUUAUUCGGAUUUACUGGGCUUAAAGAGUUCGUAGGCGGCACGGAAAGUGGGGUGUGAAAUCCCUCGGCUUAACCGAGGAACUGCGCUCCAAACUAUCGUGCUAGAGGGGGAUAGAGGUAAGCGGAACUGAUGGUGGAGCGGUGAAAUGCGUUGAUAUCAUCAGGAACACCGGAGGCGAAGGCGGCUUACUGGGUCCUUUCUGACGCUGAGGAACGAAAGCUAGGGGAGCAAACGGG
rnacentral:rRNA from 1 species